GGCUUGCUCUGAGCCCACCACUCCCCAUAUUCCAUUCAUUCCUGGCUCUUCUUUAAACUUUUAUCUCCUUGAACACUGGAUUUAACACCUCCAACUUCCUGAUUUGCAAAAGAGUGACCACUAGUAACCACAUGACAGAGUCUGCCUUGAAAUCUUCUCUGCCAAUGCCAUUAAACUCUUCAUUUUAGCCUCAGAGAAUGGCAUAUGUCAGAGGAAACAAGACUCCUCGUGCACAUAAGAAGUCACACAAGAAAUAUCUUAAAGGAAUAAAAAUUUUGAAUGGACCUGUCA